GACGAACGCUGGCGGCGUGCCUAAUACAUGCAGGUCGAGCGAAGUUUUUCUGGUGCUUGCACCGGAAAAACUUAGCGGCGAACGGGUGAGUAACACGUAAAGAACCUGCCUCAUAGACUGGGACAACUAUUGGAAACGAUAGCUAAUACCGGAUAAUAGCAUUAACUGCAUGGUUGAUGUUUAAAAGUUGGUUUUGCUAACACUAUGAGAUGGCUUUGCGGUGCAUUAGCUAGUUGGUGGGGUAAAGGCCUACCAAGGCGACGAUGCAUAGCCGACCUGAGAGGGUGAUCGGCCACACUGGGACUGAGACACGGCCCAGACUCCUACGGGAGGCAGCAGUAGGGAAUCUUACGCAAUGGGCGAAAGCCUGACGGAGCAACGCCGCGUGAGUGAAGAAGGAUUUCGGUUCGUAAAGCUCUGUUGUUAGGGAAGAAUGAUUGUGUAGUAACUAUACACAGUAGAGACGGUACCUAACCAGAAAGCCACGGCUAACUACGUG
rnacentral:rRNA from 1 species